UUAAAAAUGUCAAAUUUAAAUUCAAAGUUUAAGAAGGGCAUACAUUUACCCUAAACUCCGGGCUUUGUGCUGGAGAAAAUCAAGGGCAUCUCGUGGGUCUAGGGCUUGGAGGGAGACAGGUCAGCAGGGUGUCCCGGAUGGUGGUGAAGCUGGAGAUGAACUGAAGGAGGGCAGGCCAUGUGCAAGGGCAGGAAGGUGGGCUCAGCCUUGUUAUGUCUGGUUUUCUAAGCUGACUCUUCCCCUGUGUGCUUUGCAGCUCUGGGGAAGCUACCCAACUCUGACCUCUCUCUUUCAACACGGAUAACACACUGGCCUCCCUCUUUGGGGAGCUGUUCAUGAAAAAGAAUAGUGAGACGAGAAACACCGAGUGCCCUGUGAAAGUCAAGAAGAAGCAGCGCCAGGCUUCUAAAAAUGCUUCCUGGGCACGCAUCUGCAAACAAAGCCACAGAGACAUCCUCUUCUGUGACAGUUUCCUCAGGAGACUGCACUGUUCAGAGAGAGGACACGAUUUGCCAAAGGAGAAGGGUCAUAAGAGAGAAAGCACUGUCUAAUUCUGCCUUUCCCAUUUAUGAAAUGUUUCCUCCCACACAGGAAGGAACAGUUUGGGAUGCAAGCUGUUACCAUGGAGACAACCAGCCAAGGCCAUUUGAUUGCAGGAAUCUGGGGCCCACUGCUACUGGAUCUCUAGGGCCAUUUCCUGAAGUUGGGGUUUGGUCCUUGGCUCAGGUGAUGAGCUGUGAGCCCACUGCUGGCAGAGUAGGGGGUGCAGGGCCAGUGUCCCUCUUUUAUCCUGCACACUGCUGUUCUUUCUUCCUGCACUCUCCUUGUAGGUGUCAAUAUAGGACUGUCCCAUUCCAAAACAGGGCUAAGCUCUUAUUCUUCCAUCCUUGGAAAUACACUUUCCUGCAAAGAAACCUGAUCAAAGAAUUCUUC
rnacentral:lncRNA from 1 species